rnacentral:miRNA from 1 species
GCCUAUCACAUAUCUGCCUGU